rnacentral:rRNA from 1 species
UACGUAGUGGGCUAGCGUUGUUCGGAAUUACUGGGCGUAAAGCGCACGUAGGCGGACUGGAAAGUCAGGGGUGAAAUCCCGGGGCUCAACCCCGGAACUGCCUUUGAAACUCCCAGUCUUGAGGUCGAGAGAGGUGAGUGGAAUUCCGAGUGUAGAGGUGAAAUUCGUAGAUAUUCGGAGGAACACCAGUGGCGAAGGCGGCUCACUGGCUCGAUAUUGACGCUGAGGUGCGAAAGCGUGGGGAGCAAACAGG